UACGGGGGGGGCAAGCGUUGUUCGGAAUUACUGGGCGUAAAGGGCUCGUAGGUGGCCAACUAAGUCAGACGUGAAAUCCCUCGGCUUAACCGGGGAACUGCGUCUGAUACUGGAUGGCUUGAGUUUGGGAGAGGGAUGCGGAAUUCCAGGUGUAGCGGUGAAAUGCGUAGAUAUCUGGAGGAACACCGGUGGCGAAGGCGGCAUCCUGGACCACAACUGACGCUGAGGCGCGAAAGCUAGGGGAGCAAACAGG
rnacentral:rRNA from 1 species